UACGUAGGGGGCAAGCGUUGUCCGGAUUUAUUGGGCGUAAAGAGCGUGUAGGCGGCCACACAGGUCUGCUGUGAAAACUCGAGGCUCAACCUCGAGCUGUCGGUGGAAACCGUGUGGCUAGAGUCCGGAAGAGGAGAGUGGAAUUCCCGGUGUAGCGGUGAAAUGCGUAGAUAUCAGGAGGAACACCAGCGGUGUAGACGGCUUUCUGGACCAUUGCUGACGCUGAGACACGAAAGCGUGGGUAGCAAACAGG
rnacentral:rRNA from 1 species